rnacentral:rRNA from 1 species
CAGGAAGGUUACCACACAUUCCGCGGAGGAUUUUGGAAUUACUUUAGUAUGGGGAUGGAUGCAGAAAUAUCUUAUGCAUUUCAUUCCGAAAGGAAGAGAAAUCCAGAGAAAUUCAAAAAUCAGCUGACAAAUCAGGGACAAUAUGCUAAGCUCGGACUUAAACAAGGAUGGUUUUGCGCUUCUCUAAGUCAUCCGUCUUCGAGGAAUAUUCCUCACUUUGCAAAGGUGAAGGUUAUGAAAAAGCCUGGUGGCCACUGGGAAGAACUACAGAUUCAUCACAGCAUUCGAUCAAUCGUCUGUGUGAACCUACCUAGUUUUUCUGGAGGUUUGAAUCCAUGGGGCGAACCUGGUGCAAGGAAAAUAAAUACGGAGUUCACGCUGCCUUACGUCGAUGAUGGCCUUAUUGAGGUUGUCGGGUUCCGCGAUGCUUGGCACGGGCUGGUUCUGUUGGCUCCUAAUGGGCACGGCCAUCGCCUUGCACAGACCCACAGGAUCCGCUUCGAGUUCCACAAAGGCGUGGUGGACCACACGUUCAUGAGGGUCGAUGGGGAGCCGUGGAAGCAGCCCCUCCCAAAGGACGAUGACACUAUUGUCAUUGAGAUCUCACACCAAGGCCAGGUGACCAUGCUAGCAAACGAACCCUGCAAGUCAAUGAGCCUCAGUGACCCGUUGUCGUCACACGGCCACAGCGACCACAGUGACGAACACAAGAACGACGUGGAUGACGAGGAGUGGGAGGAUGGCAGGAGGAAGUUUGGGGCCGCGGAAACCUUCAAGCUCCCUGAUGAGAUCGACAUUGCUCAUCUCAGCUGA